rnacentral:rRNA from 1 species
CUUAAAUGAAUUGACGGGGGCCCGCACAAGCGGUGGAGCAUGUGGUUUAAUUCGAUGCAACGCGAAGAACCUUACCUACUCUUGACAUCCAGAGAACUUAGCAGAGAUGCUUUGGUGCCUUCGGGAACUCUGAGACAGGUGCUGCAUGGCUGUCGUCAGCUCGUGUUGUGAAAUGUUGGGUUAAGUCCCGCAACGAGCGCAACCCUUAUCCUUUGUUGCCAGCGAUUCGGUCGGGAACUCAAAGGAGACUGCCAGUGAUAAACUGGAGGAAGGUGGGGAUGACGUCAAGUCAUCAUGGCCCUUACGAGUAGGGCUACACACGUGCUACAAUGGCAUAUACAAAGAGAAGCGAUCUCGCGAGAGCAAGCGGACCUCAUAAAGUAUGUCGUAGUCCGGAUUGGAGUCUGCAACUCGACUCCAUGAAGUCGGAAUCGCUAGUAAUCGUAGAUCAGAAUGCUACGGUGAAUACGUUCCCGGGCCUUGUACACACCGCCCGUCACACCAUGGGAGUGGGUUGCAAAAGAAGUAGGUAGCUUAACCUUCGGGAGGGCGCUUACCACUUUGUGAUUCAUGACUGGGGUGAAGUCGUAACAAGGUAAC